UACGUAGGGCGCAAGCGUUGUCCGGAAUUAUUGGGCGUAAAGAGCUCGUAGGCGGCCUGUUACGUCUGCUGUGAAAUCCCGGGGCUUAACCCCGGGCGUGCAGUGGAUACGGGCAGGCUGGAGGCAGGCAGGGGAGAACGGAAUUCCCGGUGUAGCGGUGAAAUGCGCAAAUAUCGGGAGGAACACCGGUGGCGAAGGCGGUUCUCUGGGCCUGUACUGACGCUGAGGAGCGAAAGCGUGGGGAGCGAACAGG
rnacentral:rRNA from 1 species